CGGUUAAUAACAUUUUAAUUCGACGUUUUGACUAGCUUGCAGCCAAUGAGUUUAAUAAGUUCUUUUGUAAGAUUGGAGCUAAACUGGCUGAAACUAUAUUGGCUGAUCCACUACAAUACGUCACUCCCAUGCAAUGUAGUCAAUCAUAGUCUUUCAAAACAUGGCUUGGAAGCUCCGCUAAAGUCUUUGUUCUAUCUUUUUGUUCGCGUUUAUUAUGCAGUUUUCUGCACGGUGCACGGUCAAUGAACACAUUGUAUUUCAGUAUAAUGAACGAAUCAUCCAAUAGCAAAGUUUCAGUUAAGUCAUUCAAU